GACGAACGCUGGCGGCGUGCCUAAUACAUGCAAGUCGAGCGCAGGAAGCCGUCUGAACCCUUCGGGGGGGACGACGGUGGAAUGAGCGGCGGACGGGUGAGUAACACGUAAAGAACCUGCCCAUAGGUCUGGGAUAACCACGAGAAAUCGGGGCUAAUACCGGAUGUGUCAUCGGACCGCAUGGUCCGAUGAUGAAAGGCGCUCCGGCGUCGCCCAUGGAUGGCUUUGCGGUGCAUUAGCUAGUUGGUGAGGUAACGGCCCACCAAGGCGACGAUGCAUAGCCGACCUGGGAGGGUGAUCGGCCACACUGGGACUGAGACACGGCCCAGACUCCUACGGGAGGCAGCAGUAGGGAAUCUUCCACAAUGGACGAAAGUCUGAUGGAGCAACGCCGCGUGAACGAUGAAGGCUUUCGGGUCGUAAAGUUCUGUUGUAAGGGAAGAACAAGUGCCGCAGGCAAUGGCGGCACCUUGACGGUACCUUGCGAGAAAGCCACGGCUAACUACGUGCCAGCCGCCGCCGUAA
rnacentral:rRNA from 1 species